GUUCGCUUCGGCAGUACAUGUACUAAGAUUGGAACGAUACAGAGAAGAUUAGCAUGGCCCCCGCACAAAGAUGACAUGCAAAUUCGUGAAGUAUUCCAUAUUUUA